UACGUAGGGUGCAAGCGUUAAUCGGAAUUACUGGGCGUAAAGCGCGCGUAGGCGGCUUUGCAAGUCGGGUGUGAAAUCCCCAGGCUCAACCUGGGAACUGCAUUCGAGACUGCAUUGCUAGAGUAUGGGAGAGGGAAGUGGAAUUUCAGGUGUAGCGGUGAAAUGCGUAGAUAUCUGAAGGAACAUCAGUGGCGAAAGCGACUUCCUGGACCAAUACUGACGCUCAUGUGCGAAAGCGUGGGGAGCAAACAGG
rnacentral:rRNA from 1 species